rnacentral:lncRNA from 1 species
AUUUUGGUCUUCCUUCUUCUUGAGUUUCAUGUUGCUUUGCAAAUUGUAUCAUGGGUAUUCUAAGUUUCUGGGCUAAUAAUAUCCACUUACAGCCAAAAGCUGGAAAGAACCCAGAUGUCCCUCAACAGAAGAAUGGAUACAGAAAAUGUGAUACAUUUACACAACGAAAUAAGAACGUUUGCUAAUGUGUGGAAGGAAAAUGGAAAACGUAUUUGGAGCCCUUGCUGCAUUGCCGAGUUGGUCACUCCAAAUAUUUCCAUAGUACAUAAUACAACAGUCACAGGAUGUAAGUUAAUGACAAAGAAGUUACAAAUACUGUGACAGAUGUUCUACCAAAGCAAAGAAAUGUUAAUGAAACAUGGCAAGACCUCGUAAAAGGCUUAGAAGAUAAUAGAAAAUUUGUUUCUGAACCUGAAGAGUGACCAUGAACACGUUUAUGACUCCUGAGAGAAAUGCUGUUAGAAGCUUGUCUUGACAAAUCGGCCUUCAUCCAACCAGCCACCAAGUUAAUAGUGUGUUUUCAUAUCAUUCAUAACAAGGAUUUCAUUCUCCUUUAAAUACUGUGGUUUUGACCCAUUCAGAAAUAAAUUACCUUUAAGAAAACUGAUGCAUUGUAAUCAACGUAACUAUGCUUUAGCCUCCAUGAUGUACUAUACUUAUUUUCCUUUUGACCCAGUCAUGCCUCUGAUUCAGAACAGUGUAUGUAUGUGUAAGAUGUGGUAGAUAGCCCAAGGUCAUUCACUGAAAACAGCAUGAGAUUGAAAACAACACCCUCCCUCAGACAAAGAAAAAUGUUGAAAAUAACAUAUGGUUAUAGAUUGACAAAAAAAAAAAUCUGAUUUUGGCUUUGUGGGCUAUUCUGAGUCAAUAUGGCAUACAACAAUUUCCUCCCUUGUGAGACUCCUGGCAAGAUUGACAAAACAAAUAAAUAAUAAAUAAAUAAAAAUUUAAAAAACGAU